rnacentral:rRNA from 1 species
GACGAACGCUGGCGGCGUGCCUAAUACAUGCAAGUCGAGCGGGCCUCCGGAGGUGCUUGCACCUCCGGAAGGCCAGCGGCGGACGGGUGAGUAACACGUGGGCAACCUGCCUUUGAGGCCGGGAUAACACCGGGAAACCGGUGUUAAUACCGGAUGCGUCCUCUUUCGUGCCUGCGAGAGGGGAGAAAGACGGUCUUCGGGCCGUCGCUCAAAGAGGGGCCCGCGGCGCAUUAGCUGGUUGGUGGGGUAAGGGCCUACCAAGGCGACGAUGCGUUGCCGACCUGAGAGGGUGAUCGGCCACACUGGGACUGAGACACGGCCCAGACUCCUGCGGGAGGCAGCAGUAGGGAAUCAUCCGCAAUGGGCGAAAGCCUGACGGUGCAACGCCGCGUGAGUGAGGAAGGUUUUCGGAUCGUAAAGCUCUGUUGUGAGGGAAGAACAGCUUCCGGAGGAAAUGCCGGAGGUUUGCCGGUACCUCACCAGAAAGCCCCGGCUAACUACGUGCCAGCCGCCGCGGUAA